rnacentral:rRNA from 1 species
AGGUAAGCUACUAAGAGCGAAUGGUGGAUGCCUUGACUGGUAAAGGCGAUGAAGGACGUACUAGACUGCGAUAAGCUACGGGGAGCUGUCAAGAAGCUUUGAUCCGUAGAUUUCCGAAUGGGGCAACCCAAUGUAUAGAGAUAUACAUUACCUAUAUAGGAGCGAACGAGGGGAAUUGAAACAUCUUAGUACCCUCAGGAAAAGAAAUCAAUAGAGAUUGCGUCAGUAGCGGCGAGCGAAAGCGCAAGAGGGCAAACCCAGUGCUUGCACUGGGGGUUGUAGGACUGCAAUGUGCAAGAGGUGAGUUUAGCAGAACAUUCUGGAAAGUAUAGCCAUAGAGGGUGAUAGUCCCGUAUGCGAAAAACAAACCUUAGCUAGCAGUAUCCUGAGUAGGGCGGGACACGAGAAAUCCUGUCUGAAGCUGGGUCGACCACGAUCCAACCCUAAAUACUAAUACCAGAUCGAUAGUGCACAAGUACCGUGAGGGAAAGGUGAAAAGAACUGAGGUGAUCAGAGUGAAAUAGAACCUGAAACCAUUUGCUUACAAUCAUUCAGAGCCCUAUGUAGCAAUACAGGGUGAUGGACUGCCUUUUGCAUAAUGAGCCUGCGAGUUGUGGUGUCUGGCAAGGUUAAGCAAACGCGAAGCCGUAGCGAAAGCGAGUCUGAAUAGGGCGCUUAGUCAGAUGCUGCAGACCCGAAACGAAGUGAUCUAUCCAUGAGCAAGUUGAAGCUAGUGUAAGAACUAGUGGAGGACUGAACCCAUAGGCGUUGAAAAGCCCCGGGAUGACUUGUGGAUAGGGGUGAAAGGCCAAUCAAACUUCGUGAUAGCUGGUUCUCUCCGAAAUAUAUUUAGGUAUAGCGUUGUGUCGUAAUAUAAGGGGGUAGAGCACUGAAUGGGCUAGGGCAUACACCAAUGUACCAAACCCUAUCAAACUCCGAAUACCUUAUAUGUAAUCACAGCAGUCAGGCGGCGAGUGAUAAAAUCCGUCGUCAAGAGGGAAACAACCCAGACUACCAGCUAAGGUCCCUAAAUCUUACUUAAGUGGAAAACGAUGUGAAGUUACUUAAACAACCAGGAGGUUGGCUUAGAAGCAGCCAUCCUUUAAAGAAAGCGUAAUAGCUCACUGGUCUAGUGAUUUUGCGCGGAAAAUAUAACGGGGCUAAAGUAAGUACCGAAGCUGUAGACUUGCGCACAACUUAGAUUAUUUAAGUUUAGAAUAUGAGAAACUAAGUUAUAUGUUUAGUUAUAUUUUUACUGAUUUUUAUAGAGUAAAGAUAGAAAUAAAACUUAGUAAAAUCAGUAAAAAUAUUCUUAGACUAAAGUUAAGUAGUUUAAGUUGUGUGCAAGUGGUAGGAGAGCGUU